AAAAAAGCGAGAUAGCAAAAAAAAAAAUCUCACGGGCGUGCGCUGAAACAGCGGCUUUACCUUGCAACAGGAAGGCGGGGAAAAAGAGGAAAAAACAGCGAGCAACAGGCUGUGGCUCCGGGCAGAAACCUCAACCCCUGUCCCCUCGCUCACCUGCUCGCAAGCGUGCCUCCCACACGCACCGAGCGCCGCCCGUGACAGAAAAAAACCAAACCACCUUCGGGAAGACGCACCGCACCAACAACAAGCAGACAAAACAGAAACGAAGGCGAUCCAACACACACUUCCUUUCGUCGCACAGACAAGGCGCAAAGAAAGUCCUGGCUUAUCCCACCUUUUCUGACUAUACAUCUCAAUGCGGAAGACUGGGCUUAAUGGAGCUGCUGCAGAUCCAGACCUCUGCCUGCCAUCAGAUAGGGUGGAAAUGGAUGACCUGGCUUAAGAUGGAUUUCUGAGAGUCUGCAUCACCUUCUCAAUCUUCCUGAUGCUUUGAGGCUUUUAUCACUGCUACACUGCCUGGAAGGCUGAGACACUUUCUUAACCCGCCUAAGCAAGAAUCAUGAAUAUGGCAUCGACUCCUCUUCAACCAUGCUUAAUUAUGAAAGGUACAGUUUUGCUCUUUAGCUGGAUUUCUAGUUUUCAAGCCUACACUGAAUACUGAAGAGCAAGAGGUACUUGGUGCAUCUAACACAACUGCCUUGAACAGUGUCUGCCAAACUCUGUUUUGAAAGCAAGGUUCUUCUGUCUGUCCAAAGGUAUUUUUUUUCAACUAGGCAGGCAGGAAACAAGUCUGGUGAAAACAAGAGGACUGGUCCAACUGAUUACCAUUAAUAGCUUCAUUUACAAAUCCCGGGAGACGAUCAAGAAAGAAAUUUGUAUCUUCAAUUGUUCUCAGUAUAGAGGAGGUAAUAAACAAAGCGUGUCGGAUAAUUGUUUCUCGCGGCACCGCACAUACUUUUAUAGUUCCAGGCUUUUGCACACUGAAUUAUAUUAAUGUGCUCCUAUAAAAUAACUCCAUAAAGUAGUGAUCUCUUUCACAUUCUUGAACAUCAUCUGUUGGGACAUGUUAUUGCUUUGUCCCGUACAACAGGCACAAAUGGAUAGCGCUUACAGUCUUUAAAAAAAC
rnacentral:lncRNA from 1 species